ensembl:snoRNA small nucleolar RNA U13
AUCCUUUUGCAGUUUCAAAAGCGUGAUGACUGCGUGUUCGAGCUCUUGUGUGAGAUGUGCCUCCCGCAAACCUUGUUACAACAUGGGCUCAUCACCCGUGUGAGG